rnacentral:rRNA from 1 species
AAGGACUGCUAAUACCUUGUGUGGUCAUUUAGCUUAGACGCUUUUUGACUAAAGGAGCUUGCUCCGCUUUGGGAGGGGCCUGCGUCCCAUCAGCUAGUUGGUAGGGUAAUGGCCUACCAAGGCAAUGACGGGUAGGGGACCUGAGAGGGUGGCCCCCCACAAUGGAACUGAAACACGGUCCAUACACCUACGGGUGGCAGCAGUAGGGAAUAUUGGUAAUGUGCGAAAGCGCGAACCAGCAACGCCGCGUGUGCGAAGAAGGCCUUCGGGUUGUAAAGCACUUUUCGGGAGGAAGAGGAAGGACUGUACUCCCGGAAUAAGUCUCGGCUAACUACGUGCCAGCAGCCGCGGUAAUACGUAGGAGGCAAACGUUAUCCGGAUUUACUGGGCGUAAAGCGCGUGCAGGCUGUUCGAUAAGUUGGGCGUGAAAGCUCCCGGCUCAACUGGGAGAGGUCGUUCAAUACUGUCGGACUAGAGGAUGGUAGAGGAAGGUGGAAUUCCGGGUGUAGUGGCGAAAUGCGCAGAUAUCCGGAGGAACACCAGUGGCGAAAGCGGCCUUCUGGACCAUUCCUGACGCUCAGACGCGAAAGCUAGGGUAGCAAACGGGAUUAGAGACCCCGGUAGUCCUAGCUGUAAACGAUGUGAACUUGGCGUCGGUGGGAUUAAAUCCAUCGGUGUCGUAGCUAACGCGAUAAGUUCACCGCCUGAGGACUACGGCCGCAAGGUUAAAACUCAAAGGAAUUGACGGGGACCCGCACAAGCAGCGGAGCGUGUGGUUUAAUUCGUUGCUACACGAAGAGCCUUACCUGGGUUUGACAUAUAGGUUGUAGGGAACUGAAAAGGGACCGACCCUUCGGGGAGCCUAUACAGGUGUUGCAUGGCUGUCGUCAGCUCGUGUCGUGAGAUGUUCGGUUAAGUCCGCUAACGAGCGCAACCCUCGCCGUAUGUUAUAUGUGUCAUACGGGACUGCCGGUAACAAGCCGGAGGAAGGUGGGGAUGAUGUCAAGUCAGCAUGACCUUUAUAUCCAGGGCUACACACACGCUACAAUGGUCUGUACAAUGGGUAGCCAAGCCGCGAGGCGGAGCCAAUCCUGAAAGCAGGCCUCAGUUCAGAUUGCAGUCUGCAACCCGACUGCAUGAAGCCGGAGUUGCUAGUAACCGCAGGUCAGCAAUACUGC